rfam:Buttiauxella agrestis ATCC 33320 GBAG.assembly.020, whole genome shotgun sequence.
UGUUGGUUCUCCCGCAAUGCUAAUUUGUGAAUUCGGUCAGGUCCGGAAGGAAGCAGCCGCAGCAGAUGACGCGUGUGCCGGGAUGUAGCUGGCAGGG